UACGAGGGGGGCAAGCGUUGUCCGGAAUUAUUGGGCGUAAAGAGCUCGUAGGCGGUCUGUCGCGUCGGCUGUGAAAACCCGGGGCUCAACCCCGGGCCUGCAGUCGAUACGGGCAGACUAGAGUGCGGUAGGGGAGACUGGAAUUCCUGGUGUAGCGGUGAAAUGCGCAGAUAUCAGGAGGAACACCGGUGGCGAAGGCGGGUCUCUGGGCCGUAACUGACGCUGAGGAGCGAAAGCGUGGGGAGCGAACAGG
rnacentral:rRNA from 1 species